rnacentral:rRNA from 1 species
GACGAACGCUGGCGGCGUGCCUAAUACAUGCAAGUCGAACGAACCGCGACUGAGUGCUUGCACUUGGUCAAGGUGAGUGGCGAACGGGUGAGUAACACGUGGGUAACCUACCUCAUAGUGGGGGAUAACAGUCGGAAACGACUGCUAAUACCGCAUAGGACAUAGGAUCACAUGAUCCAGUGAGGAAAGGUGGCGCAAGCUAUCGCUAAGAGAUGGACCCGCGGUGCAUUAGCUAGUUGGUAGGGUAAAGGCCUACCAAGGCGAUGAUGCAUAGCCGACCUGAGAGGGUGAUCGGCCACAUUGGGACUGAGACACGGCCCAAACUCCUACGGGAGGCAGCAGUAGGGAAUCUUCCGCAAUGGACGCAAGUCUGACGGAGCAACGCCGCGUGAGUGAAGAAGGUCUUCGGAUCGUAAAGCUCUGUUGUUAGAGAAGAACAGCGAAUAGAGUAACUGCUAUGCGUGUGACGGUAUCUAACCAGAAAGCCACGGCUAACUACGUG